GACGUAGGAGGCGAGCGUUGUCCGGAUUCAUUGGGCGUAAAGAGCGCGCAGGCGGCUUGGUAAGUCGGAUGUGAAAUCCCGAGGCUCAACCUCGGGUCUGCAUCCGAUACUGCCCGGCUAGAGGUAGGUAGGGGAGAUCGGAAUUCCUGGUGUAGCGGUGAAAUGCGCAGAUAUCAGGAGGAACACCGGUGGCGAAGGCGGAUCUCUGGGCCUUACCUGACGCUGAGACGCGAAAGCGUGGGGAGCGAACCGG
rnacentral:rRNA from 1 species